CCCCUCUCAGGGUCUCACCUGGAGAGUUUCCAGUCCUCUACCGGUCUCGACUACGGGAGGGAGAGUCCAGCAGAGGCCUACCAUUCCAUUCCUAGCUUGGCCAGUGGCUAGCGAGUGGAAGGCAAUCUGCUACAAGU
rfam:Ornithorhynchus anatinus chromosome 5, whole genome shotgun sequence.